GCUACACAAGUGCAAUAAACAAGUGACCCCCCCCCCCCUUUCCUUUCUUUUUUAAAGAUCCAGGUGUUAGAACCAAGAUUGGGGAUGAAAAAUCAACUGAAAAACUUGAAAAACUAAUGUUUGAAAAUAAGGAGGCACACUGGGUCAUGAAAAGUACCCAGAAGAAUCAGUGUGGAAAAUCCAUAGGAGAAACACUGAAAAAUACGAAUGAAAAUUCUAGGAAGGUGAAUGACAAAGCUAAGAAAAUUAUGAUGGAUGUGUCAGAACUAAAAGGUAAAGAUCUAAAGGAAAGUUUGACUGAAAACUUGGAAUAUGUCAUAUGUAAGAGAGUUCCUAAUGGGUGUAGUUUCUGUGAAUGUAGCACAGGUUGUGAAAAUACCUGUUGGCAGUCAGACCUUAUUCUUCAUGAGGAAAUGCAUGUCAAAGAGAAAGCUUGUGAAUGUGAUGAAUGUGGAAAAGGUUUCAGGGUGUCCUCAGCUCUUACCUUACAUAAAAGAAUCCACAGUGGUGAGAAGCCUUACGCAUGUGAUGACUGUGGGAAAGCCUUCAGCCAGAGCUCUGCCCUAACCCAACAUAAAAGAAUCCACAGUGGGGAGAGACCAUAUAUGUGUGACCAGUGCCACAAAGCCUUCAAUGGGAGCUCAGAUCUUAUUAAACACAAGAGAAUUCACACUGGAGAGAAACCUUAUGAAUGUGGGGACUGUGGGAAGUCCUUUAGGAAUAUCUCGGCCCUCACUGAACAUCACCGAAUCCAUACUGGAGAGAAACCUUUCGAAUGUAAUGAAUGCUGGAAGGCCUUCAGUAGCAGGUCAGCACUUUCUCAGCAUAAAGGGAUUCACAAUGGAGGGAAGCCCUAUGAAUGCAGUGACUGUGGAAAAACCUUCAAGACAAGGAAUUGUCUUACCAUGCAUCAGAAAAUUCACACUGGGGAGAAGCCUUAUGAAUGUAGUGAAUGUGGCAAGGCCUUCCAGUUUAGGCACUGCCUUACCAUGCAUCAGAGGAUCCACACUGGAGAGAAACCCUAUGAAUGUACAGAGUGUGGGAAGGCCUUUAGUGGUAGUUCAGACCUUACCAAACACAAGAGAAUCCACACUGGAGAAAAGCCUUACCAGUGUGCUGAGUGUGGGAAGGCUUUCAGUUGCAGCUCUGACCUUACCAAACAUAAAAUAAUUCACACUGGGGAGAAACCAUAUAGUUGUAAUCAGUGUGGAAAGGCCUUUGGUGGGAAGUCAGACCUUACCAAACAUAAACGAAUCCACACUGGGGAGAAGCCUUAUGAGUGUCAAGAGUGUGGAAAAGCCUUCAGUUAUAGCUCAGGCCUUAGACACCACAAGAAAGUCCAUAAUGGAGAGAAACCCUUUGAAUGUCAUGAGUGUGGGAAGACCUUUCAUCAAAGCUCAGAACUCAAUGUACACAAAAGACUCCACACAGGAGAAAAACCAUAUAAAUGUGAAAAGUGUGGGAAAACUUUCAGGGUGAGCUCAGAUCUCAAUGGGCAUAAAAUAAGAAAGCAUACUAAAAUCCCCUGAGUUUGCAGAUGAAAAAUCAUUGAGUCCAAUAUGCUUUCCUCAACCUUAUGCACAUCUACCUCCUUGCAGCAGUUGAUACCAAGGAGACCUUACUUUUUGGAGAUAUAACCCUGAUUAAUAUUGUAUCUUGCCUAUUGUUAUUCUCAUUGCUCUUACCUUACCCUACUUUUCCCCCAUAGCUUUUAAUAACUAAUAAUAUAUUUUAUUUAUGCUAUUUAUUUGUAUGUAUAUUAUCUUACUACUUUGAUAGAGUAUAAACUCCACGCAGGCAGGAAACCUUAUCUUUUGUUAACUGAUGUAUUAUUAUUCUAAGCCACUAGAAUCUUGGCUGAUAAAUGGCAGGAGGUUGUGGGGGUGAAGUGGAGUGGGGGAGGAGGAAAGAAACUCAAUAAAUAGUUUUGAAUGAAAUUAAUUCCUUGGUUUCCAUGAUAUGCUGUUUCUUGGUUCCCCUUUUGUGUUUCCAGCUGUUUUUCCCCUUUGUCUUUGUUGACUACUAUUGGUCCCCUCAUCCAUAAAAUGUGGCUGUAUAUCAUUAUGCUCUGUUAUUUAAGAAAAGAGUCUUCAUUGUCUGCAUUGCCUAGUUGCCUGUAUAUUCUCCUAACCUUCACAACAAUCUUGUUUGACAAAAUAUUACUCUGUUCUCACCUUUAUGUCUAUAAUGUGUUUAAUGUAAAUAAACUAUACACAUGCUAUUUCUGUAUUAGAUUGGGCAUUUCAAGGCAUUAUCAUGGAAGGGAAAAAAUAAAUGUGUUUAUGCCAUUCUCUUAUCUGAAGGUCAAGAAAGAAAGAGGUUCUUUUAUCUCAAGAAUGUGAGCAAAAAAUAUCAAUACUGUAUUUAAAAUCUAUACUAAAUCCAUUUUUUAAAAAAACAUGUAGGUAGUUCCCUGUGUGUACUAUUGCAUCCUUAUAGUAUGGACUCUAGACACACUUUACAGAGCAGUCAACAAUAUUCUUUAGAAAUGUAGAUUAGGUAAUGUACUUAAAAUUCUCCACUGGCUUCUUGUCACUUUUUCCUCCUUUUUAAAUGGAACAUUUUGUCGCAUUUGCUAAUUUCUUCCUGAACCAUUUUAAAAUAAGUUUAAGAUAUACCACCUAUCCCCAAACACUUCAGUAUGUCUCUCCUGAGAAUAAGCAUAUUUUUUCAUAAUUGUAAUGUCACUUUUAUUCCUAAAAAAUGAUUUAUAAUUCUUAUUGAAUUAUAAAUUACAACAAAUAUCUUACCUAUAUUCAAAUUUCCUUGUUGUCCUUAAAAGUCUUUUAAGCUGUUUUCUCCCCCCAUCAGAAUUCAAUUAGGGUAUACACUUUGCAAUCACUACAUUUUUUUUUUUUAGUUUAUUUUGAUCUAGAAUCAUGCUGUCUAUUACUGUAGUCAAUAGCCACAUGUCUGCUGAGCACAAAUAGAAUCAUGCUGUCUAUUACUGUAGUCAGUAGCCACAUGUCUGCUGAGCACAAGUGAAAAUGGCUAGUCUGAAUUAAAAUGCAUGACAAGUGUAAAAUACAUAAUCAGUUUUGAUUUCAUGUAGAAAAUAAAAUUCUUAAUUUUAAUGUUGAUUAAUGCUGAUAUAAUAAUUUGGAUAUAUGGGUUGAAUAAAAUAUAAUUAAAAUCAAUUUCAGCAAUUUUUACUUUUGGCACUAGAAAACUUAAAAUACAUAUGUAGCUUAUAGUUGUUGCUUACAUGGUAUUUCUAUGGGAUAUUGUGAAUCUAGAACAAUGGACUUACUUUCUC
rnacentral:lncRNA from 1 species